CUGAAAAGCUUUUCAUUCUGCCCUCCCCCCCCUGCCCCAGCUGUGCCAGCCUGCCACCACUGGUCUGGGAUUCCUUCCCUUCUUUUUUGUCCUUCGCCAGUGUGUGGGGCAGAAGAUUCAGGACGAAGAGGGGACACAUCCCCGCAGCCUGCUGUGACCAUCGCCGGCCUUCCAGGUGGAACAGCUGCAAUCAGAACUCCUUGUCUCACUUUCUCUCUACUUUCCCAGCAACCAGUUUGCCGCAUCAUGACUUCUGGAUGGCAUCUGUUCUCUUCCCAUCAACUGGUCAACAGAGAGGAACACUGAUGAACUUCUCUGGAGCCACUAUUAAGAAGGCGCUUCUCCUUCCCACAGAGAUUCUUAACAUUGUGGAGAUCAGCAAAACCCUUCGUGAUCUUAGAAGGCAGCAAGGUCAUACAAUUUUAUAAACUGUGAAGAUACAAACUCUUAGAGAUACUGCUCUAAGAGCAGUGGUUUCUACAUACAUAAAUUAAUAAGAAUCAAACAGGCAGAGCCUAUUUUAGAUAUUUACUCAUGCUUCCCAAAAUGCU